rnacentral:misc_RNA from 1 species
CGCACAUUGCGCCCCUUGGUAUUCCGGGGGGCAUGCCUGUUCGAGCGUCAUUUCAACCCUCAAGCUUUGCUUGGUCUUGGGCUCUGCCGGCAACGGCUUGCCUUAAACGCAGUGGCGGUGCCAUUCGAGCUCUACGCGUAGUAAUUAAACCCUCGCGAUUGAGUCUUGGUGGAUGCUGGCCAGCAACCCCUUUAUUUUUCUAUGGUUGACCUCGGAUCAGGUAGGGAUACCCGCUGAACUUAA